GCGCCGCUAAAGUAGUGGUAUCAUGCAAGAUUCCUAUUCUUGUGACUCGGGUUCGACUCCCGGGCUGCGCA